rnacentral:rRNA from 1 species
AGCGAACGUUGGCGGCGUGCUUAACACAUGCAAGUCGAGCGAAGGUGUUUCAAGGGUAACCUUGAGAUACACUUAGCGGCGGACGGGUGAGUAAUACGUGGAUAACUUACCUCUAGGCCUGGGAUAACCCCGGGAAACUGGGGCUAAUACCUGAUAAGACCACAUUGUCUACGGACAAAGGGGUAAAAGGUGGCUGUGCAAACAGCUAUCGCCAAAAGAUAGGUUCACGUCCCAUCAGGCAGUUGGGAGGUAAUGGCUCACCAAACCAAAGACGGGUAGCCGGCCUUGGCGGGUGAACGGCCACACGGGGACUGAGACACGG